rnacentral:rRNA from 1 species
UCGAUUCCCUUAGUAGCGGCGAGCGAAACGGGAAGAGCCCAAACCAACAAGCUUGCUUGUUGGGGUUGUAGGACACUCUAUACGGAGUUACAAAGGACGACAUUAGACGAAUCAUCUGGAAAGAUGAAUCAAAGAAGGUAAUAAUCCUGUAGUCGAAAAUGUUGUCUCUCUUGAGUGGAUCCUGAGUACGACGGAGCACGUGAAAUUCCGUCGGAAUCUGGGAGGACCAUCUCCUAAGGCUAAAUACUCUCUAGUGACCGAUAGUGAACCAGUACCGUGAGGGAAAGGUGAAAAGCACCCCGGAAGGGGAGUGAAAUAGAACCUGAAACCGUGUGCUUACAAGUAGUCAGAGCCCGUUAAUGGGUGAUGGCGUGCCUUUUGUAGAAUGAACCGGCGAGUUACGAUUUGAUGCAAGGUUAAGCAGUAAAUGUGGAGCCGUAGCGAAAGCGAGUCUGAAUAGGGCGUUUAGUAUUUGGUCGUAGACCCGAAACCAGGUGAUCUACCCUUGGUCAGGUUGAAGUUCAGGUAACACUGAAUGGAGGACCGAACCGACUUACGUUGAAAAGUGAGCGGAUGAACUGAGGGUAGCGGAGAAAUUCCAAUCGAACCUGGAGAUAGCUGGUUCUCUCCGAAAUAGCUUUAGGGCUAGCCUCAAGU